CCCAUUACAAAGGGCGCCCGAGCAGGGACUUGACUUUGUGAGUGACAGUGAAAAAUAUGAAACGGUCACCAACGCUCAUUAAUCAGGUUCGCCACACCCCCUACACAAUCAUAAGCAUCGCAGUACUUCAGCGCAUAAGACUCUAACGCUUGAGACAGACACGACUAGUUGGAUUUAUUGGUUAAAAAAGGAACGAUUGGUCACCGAGUGCAGACGACACCACAUCGCUGUCGAAGAGCGCACCGUAGCAGAUCUCCGUAGCGAGCUGAGCGCCUGCAUCCGUGCAAAGCGCCACAGUAAAUCCACGGAGGACCUAGUGAAAGCUUUAGAAAGGGAAAUGAAAGAGGAAGUAAUGCCACCAUACUUGUUCCAACCACCACGGUAAGAAACCCGAGUAAAGUAAUAGCAACACGUGAUGACAUCACAUCGGCUGCAAAAUUGCCAGAUCUGGAGGUUAUAAACUCCGUGCGGCGAUGGGACAUACGCUACAGCGGUCGCGAAAAUUUACACGACUUCCUAGAGCGAUGCGAGGAACUAGCCGAAUGCUACUCUAUAGCAAAGAACCAGCUUCUUGCUACUAUGCCGGAAAUUUUGCAUGAUAAAGCGCUGCAAUGGUUUCCUAUAAAACGCAAUGUCAUAAAAACGUGGGUUGACUUUCGUUGCGAGGCUGAACGGUUUUUUUUACCGAAACGACACCUCGCACAUCUGGAAGAAACCAUCCAUCAGCGCAAGCAAUUACCCAGAGAGGAAGCAAAAGAUUAUGUGUUGACCAUCCAAACGCUUAUUCGCCAGCACCCGAUACUUCCCGAUGAAGAUCACACCGAACGUAUAUACGACGGUCUAAGGGUGGAAUAUCGCUUAUACGUCCGACGAAGCGACUUCAACAGCGAAGACGAACUACUCGAGCUAACCGAAGAAUUAGAAUUGUUAAAAAGCGAGGAGGCCAGGCAAGCAAGAAACACCAAUCACUGUUUGACGUAAGUACUAAGUAUUGCCGCGAGAAAGUUUGUUGGCGAUGUAAACAGCCGGGACACCGAAGGCACCAAUUUCGCAACCGUCAGCGAAUAUUUUGCUCUCGCUGUGGACGCGACGUAAUCAUGUCGCGAGACUGCAAUUGUCCUACACAAGCGAAAGUGCGAGUUGCUCCGUCCAAACCCAGUACAAUAGCACUCAAGGCAACGAUUCCGUACCCAGAAGGGAAACAAGAUGGCCGUUAUUUUUUGCCCAUUACUAUCGCAGGCAUGCAGAUAGAAGCUCUGGUGGACACCGGAACUUCGCUCACAUAUAUCGGUAAAGAACUUCAACGUCAUCUACAUAAACACCAAAUUAAAGCCACACGCCAGACCCGUCGCAUUCAGCUAGCUAACCAGACAUAUGCAUAAACCUAGAACGAAAAUGUAUCCUGUUACUAUAGAGCUGGGUCACAAGUCUACGCACCUACUUGUAUCAGCUCUACCGACGCUUUCGGAACAUGUCAUCUUAGGAGUGAAUUUCUUAAGGAAGCGAGGCCUAACUAUCACCAUCGAUGGGCAACCCCUAACCGCUGCACGCCUAAGCACACUGGCACCUACCGAUCACCUUACUAUGCUAACCGAAAGGCAACAUCUUACAGAAAAGGAGAAUCACAAAUUGAAUACUCUCCUCACUGAAAACGCGCAGUAUUCUCGACGAUCACCGACCCCAGCACAGCCAUCGAACACAUAAUUCGCCUUAAACGCGACCGUCCACUAAAGCAGAGAUAUUAUCCACGCAACCCAGCGAUGCAAGAAGUAAUCACCGACCAUCAUUCACUUAAAUGGCUUCACACCCUGCAGAACCCAUCCGGAAGACUUGCAACGUGGGCACUAGAGCAACAGCAGUUUGACUUCGAAAUAGAGUAUCGCAAAGGUACCCUCAACGUAGUCACCGAUGCGCUAUCCAGAUGCCCACUGAAAGACCAAGAAGGCGAUGCGAAGCUUUUGCGUGCCGUCCAUGAUCAACUGGAUAGAUGGUAUGAAAGACGUACGCGUCAGGUACACGAUCAACUGAAGAAAUAUCCCGCUUACCAACUUAUCGAUGACGUCGCCCCGCGCAAUAAGCUAUCCUGGACUCCAUGCUGGAAACUAUGCGUACCAGAGCCCCGUCGACUCGAAGUCCUGAGAGAAAAUCACGACGCUAGUACCGGCGGUCACAUGGGUGUACACAAAACACUCAAACGCACACAAGAAGGUCAUUAUUGGCCUGGGAUGCAUAGGGAUGCACUCAGAUACAUAUGUUCGUCGAUGCCAACAAUGUGCCGAAUAUAAGGUAGACCAGCGCCGACCUGCCGGGAUGAUGGCCACCAUGCAAUGCUCGCGACCGUGGGAAGUUGUAACGGCAGACUUUGUAGGUCCACUACCACGUUCAACAAAUGGCAACAUAUGCUUGUUAGUGCUCACGGAUAAGUUCUCCAAGUGGGUGGAGCUCAUGCCAGUCCGGAAUGCAACCGGCUAUACUAGAAAUAUCCUACACUUACUAAACUUCACCUCACUGCAUUGACCAAAGCUACGCACACAAUUUACCUCACUACGCUGACCAAAGCUGCACUAUGCUUCUAUAUAAGCAAGCACUUCACACCAAAUGCGAUCAUUUCUUCCAACUCGCCAGCCAGGACGGUCACACAGCAGCAAGCAGCAAUAGGCAGUGGGGAUCGAGAAUAUACUGCACUGUACCGUACAGUCAACGCCGUGUCUGGGAGUGACUACUCCUCACCAGAAGAUAGAAGGAACACCACUUUACCGCAAUUACCGUGCCGACUUCAACAAGAACCAACGCCUGGCACACCAAAUCCAAUCGAUUCCACCUGGCUCGCCAUAUAAAUAUAAGCUGGUCUGGCUGUCCACAUAAGGGGUGUGGAUACAUCUACUACAAAAAGUAAAUAUUUUUGCUAAGGGUUCGGUUCCACUACCACGUUCAACAAAUGGCAACACAUGCUUGUUAGUGCUCACGGAUAAGUUUUCCAAGUGGGUGGAGCUCAUACCAGUCCGGAAUGCAACCACCGCCAGUGUUAUAAAGGCGCUACGAGAGCGCGUGAUAUACCGGUUUGGUUGCCCUGACAUAUUCCUUACCGACAACGGGAAGUAAUUCACCGGCAAGCCGCUUACACAUUUCCUGGAGAGCCACGGAAUCAAACAUUGUUUCACCGCCAUUUACGCUCCACACGAGAACCCAAACGAUCGCACAAACAGAAUCGUGAAAACUAUGAUUGCACAACGAGCAAAGGCCGAUCAUCGAAGCUGGGACCACCAACUAGCCGAAAUAGCUUCCGCAAUAAAUACAUCACAACACGACUCGACAAAAACAUCAGCAGCUGAAAUAAACUUCGGGUACACACCAGCUACACCGAAACAAAUCCGUAAAGAAGGGAAUGUGCCUGACGAAGAAGCCACCACCGUGCUGACACUCACCGAGCUUUGGCAAGAAAUUUCUCGCAACUUGUCUACUGCAGCAAAACGCCAGAAGAAAUGCUACGAUUUGCGCAGACGACCAUGGAAGCCGCUUAUCGGCGAGAAAGUACUCAAAAGAGAUCAUCCGCUCUCUUCCGCAGUAAACAGCUUUGCACAGAAGCUUGCUCCGAAAUAUUCUGGCCCAUAUAUCGUCAGAAAAUUCAAGUCGACUAACACAGUCGAACUCGUGAAUCCUAGCGCACCAGGCGGGCGUACCAUCCAUGUGCCUCUGCAAGAUCUAAAGCAGUUGCCAACCGAAUACUAAACUCAAGUAACUGCUGGCGCGCUCUCUUCCGAGCUUACGGACUCCAGCUCCAAGCCACUUAUUACUAAUGUAACGCAACAGUAGACGUUGCCAACACUAAUCGAAACGUCCGUUUGCUCAUCUCUUUCCAGAUAAACGAAAUGAAACACGUAGUCAGCGGAAUGCCACACGCAUCGGGCCGCCAUAACAAACGCCAACCACAGCCACUAGAUGAGCCUACAAAGUCACAGCCUUUUCGUCCACCACCGGAAGCACGACCUUGUGUGCACACGAAUGCAACCGAGGUGCAUCAAUUGCACGCAAUCAACGUAGACGCCACCGGGUUAGCUGCCCGAACUCGCCCGAAGGCAUCCAAGCAGCCCCAGAGCACAGCGUCACCAACCAGCAACCGCGGCCGGUCAUAAAACCAACAAAACUGGAAGCAUUGCCCCGACAAACGCCGCUCAGCACAAACGCGCAUAAAAUGUCAACCACCAGACGACUCCUAGCUGCAUGUGAAGCAAAUCGCGAAGCCUGUGCUACGACAGGGCUGCGUGCCGCCCAAACCUCGACACACCCCGUAGUCAAAACAAAUGCUCAGGUGACGCUCUCAGCAGAUCGAAGCGAAGUCACGGCUGCAGCUUCAAUCCGACUCGUCCAGCGAGGCACUGCAACGAGUACCGUCACGGCCGAAGCCAGCAUUAAUAAGCAACUCGUAAGGAAUGCGCACGAGACACCAGCAACAGCAGCGACUAUCGGGGUAAACGAAUGCACGAAGAUGACACCGCCUCAUUAAAAGGCGUAAACAGCCACGACGGCGACACAACCUCACAUUGCCGAGACCAGCGUACGAUCAGUACCGCCUAUCACAUCGCAUGAAGAGGUAACACCAGCGAGCGAAAUUCCAGGGUUCCUGGAAGGGCUGAUAAUGACACGACAGCCAGCCGAUACGGCAAGGAGAGAUGCGUUGUACAUUUGUACGACUAAAUACACAAAGCCAGAAAUUAAAAUUUGUGUUACUAGUUUUAAGUACUCAUAAUCAUAAGACAUAAGACACCUUGUACCACAGGUUAAGAAAUUGCUUUUAAAUAAAGAUCUGAACACCCGCUUCCCGUC